rnacentral:lncRNA from 1 species
GGUUAAGGAUCUCCAGAGAAAGAGAACUACGGCAAAAAAGAAAAGCGGACACACUUUUCUUAAAUGUAGGGUAAACCCCUCACCCAAAUGUUCUGAUUCAUGUACAUUUGAAAUGUGAGAUGCCAAGUGGAUACGACAGAUGCCUGGGAGAGGGCCAAGAUUGCAGAGAGGAAUGUCACCAGGUCAGGAUCUGGAAACAAUCAGCUCUUAUGGUUUUAAGGAUGAAGCGCCAAGAUCUUAAGGAACCUGAAUUCCUGGUGAGCAGUCAAGUUCUUUAAUCCGCCCCCAGCAGGAUUCCGGCGGCUUAAAAAAGAAAAGAAAAAGAAAAUCUAUUUUAAAAACAAGUCAAACCAAAGCGAACCUACCCUAACCCUCCUCAUUUCUAAAGAAAAAGCCGCUUCCAACGCAGGUUUUUUUUCCUAAGGAAAAAGUCCU